rnacentral:rRNA from 1 species
ACGGAGGGUGCAAGCGUUAUUCGGAUUUACUGGGCGUAAAGCGCGUGUAGGCGGUUCUGCAAGUCUGAUGUGAAAGCCCCUGGCUUAACCGGGGGAGUGCAUUGGAAACUGUGGGACUUGAGGACUGGAGAGGGUGGGGGUAUUCCCGGUGUAGGGGUGAAAUGCGUAGAGAUCGGGAGGAAUAUCAGUGGCGAAGGCGCCCAACUGGAACGUACCUGACGCUGAGUCGCGAAAGCGUGGGGAGCAAACAG